rnacentral:rRNA from 1 species
GUAGUCCACGCUGUAAACGUUGGGCGCUAGGUGUGGGGCCCAUCAUCGGGCUCCGUGCCGCAGCUAACGCAUUAAGCGCCCCGCCUGGGGAGUACGGCCGCAAGGCUAAAACUCAAAGGAAUUGACGGGGGCCUGCACAAGCGGCGGAGCAUGUAGCUUAAUUCGAUGCAACGCGAAGAACCUUACCGAGGUUUGACAUUCCGGGAAAACUCCCAGAGAUGGGAGGUGCCUUCGGGCGUCCCGGUGCAGGUGGUGCAUGGCUGUCGUCAGCUCGUGUCGUGAGAUGUUGGGUUAAGUCCCGCAACGAGCGCAACCCUUGUUCCAUGUUGCCAGCGGUUCGGCCGGGGACU